GCCCGCAAGGGCAACCGGCGAACGGGUGCGUAACACGUGAGCAAUCUGCCGAUCUCUGGGGGAUAGCCGGCCCAACGGCCGGGUAAUACCGCAUACGCUCAUCGGGGGACAUCCCCUGGUGAGGAAACCUCCGGGGGAGAUCGAGGAGCUCGCGACCUAUCAGCUAGUUGGUGAGGUAACGGCUCACCAAGGCGACGACGGGUAGCUGGUCUGAGAGGAUGGCCAGCCACAUUGGGACUGCGACACGGCCCAGACUCCUACGGGAGGCAGCAGUGGGGAAUAUUGCGCAAUGGACGAAAGUCUGACGCAGCGACGCCGCGUGUGGGAUGAAGCUCUUCGGGGUGUAAACCACUGUUGCCAGGGAAGAAACUCUUGAUUCGUCAAGACUGACGGUACCUGGUGAGGAAGCACCGGCUAACUCUGUGCCAGCAGCCGCGGUAAUACAGAGGGUGCGAGCGUUGUCCGGAAUCACUGGGCGUAAAGGGCGCGUAGGUGGCGGGAUAAGUGUGUGGUGAAAGCUCGGGGCUCAACCCCGAGUCUGCCAUGCAGACUGUCUUGCUCGAGCGUAGUAGAGGCAGGUGGAAUUCCGGGUGUAGCGGUGGAAUGCGUAGAGAUCCGGAAGAACAUCGGUGGCGAAGGCGGCCUGCUGGGCUACUGCUGACACUGAGGCGCGACAGCGUGGGGAGCAAACAGGAUUAGAUACCCUGGUAGUCCACGCCGUAAACGAUGGUACUACGUGUCUGGGGGAACGACCCCCUGGGUGCCGGCGCUAACGCAUGAAGUACCCCGCCUGGGGAGUACGGCCGCAAGGCUGAAACUCAAAGGAAUUGACGGGGGCCCGCACAAGCGGUGGAGCAUGUGGUUUAAUUCGACGCACGCGAAGACCUUACCUGGGCUUGACAUGCUGGAGAAGCUCUCAGAAACGGGAGCUCCUCUUCGGAGUUCCAGCACAGAUGCUGCAUGGCU
rnacentral:rRNA from 1 species